GGAUGAGAGGACGAUCUGGCUGCGACAUCUGUCCCCUCACUGAUCACCAGGGUAGAUUUGGCUGACCUGGCUGGCUAGGCGGGUGUCCCCUUCCUCCCUCACCGCUCCAUGUGCAUUCCCUCCCAAGCUGUGCGCUUGGUUGAAGAAGAUGACCUUCCCCAAGUAGAGGAGAACUGGUCAUUGGUCAAGGGUAUACGAGAAGCUGUGCUCCCUUGCUAGAACCUCCAAACAAGCUCUCUCAAAUACAAAUGGAGAGAAGAAUAGAGGUUUAGAACUUAGAAGAUACAACUGUUUAAAAAGUGUUAGCUUCUAUUUUUAAUU
rnacentral:snRNA from 1 species